GAGCCCGGCCCGGCAGAACCCGCGCACCUUUCCCAGAAGCGCGUCUGGCUGAUUUCCCGUACCCAGUUUGCUCACUUAUCAUGAAUUGUGGAAGACACAAAUGUCACCCGACCCAGGAUUCUGCCGAGUCCCGCCUGUCGUCCUCCGUGCCUGCGUUGGUGCCUUCUCGCCAUAACUGAAUGAGCCGCAGACUGCUGUGUCUAGUUUCGACAUAGCCAGCGUCGUUGUCGUGCCGGUCUGCAGUGUUUGGGCUCACAGCAUGAAGCCAGCGCAGGCCUGCCCAUGCGAUCGUGCCUGGAGCACUCUGGUUUCCAGGUGGCAGACACGGUUCACGCAUCUUAGUACACGAGACACCUUCGAGGCUGGGGUCGGCUGGACUAGGAGAGCUAUUCUGGGAGCGGCCGGCGGCAGGUCAGCAGGUGCGUCUCCGCAGAGCCCGGGCCAGCUUUGCUGCCUGCAGGCACCUUCUUCUCCGUCCACGCCCUGUGCCGACCCCAGCUGACCACGAGAAAGGACCGCGUGGCUAAAUGAGUGCCGGUCUUGCUGCCUGCGUGUCUUUAACAGAGUGCAUGCGCUGACUUUCCUCUAACAAUGAAAUUGUGACUGCACCGGGCGGCUGUGGGACAUGAAGCCGCGUGGCCAUCAGCACCCCCUUUGCUCGCACAGCGAGGACGUUUUCUUAGCGUUGGCACUAGCACUGGGGCUGCCAGGCCGGCCGCGGGCAGGCGCCUCUGCUAGACUCCUGUGGUCGCUGUGAGCCUGGCUGUGUGGUGGUGGCAGAGCUGUGUCUGCGCCG
rnacentral:lncRNA from 1 species